rnacentral:rRNA from 1 species
AGUGAACGCUGGCGGUAGGCCUAACACAUGCAAGUCGAACGGCAGCACAGGAGAGCUUGCUCUCUGGGUGGCGAGUGGCGGACGGGUGAGGAAUACAUCGGAAUCUACUCUGUCGUGGGGGAUAACGUAGGGAAACUUACGCUAAUACCGCAUACGACCUACGGGUGAAAGCAGGGGACCUUCGGGCCUUGCGCGAUUGAAUGAGCCGAUGUCGGAUUAGCUAGUUGGCGGGGUAAAGGCCCACCAAGGCGACGAUCCGUAGCUGGUCUGAGAGGAUGAUCAGCCACACUGGAACUGAGAGACGGUCCAGACUCAUACGGGAGGAAGCAUUGGGGAAUAUUGGACAAUGGGCGCAAGCCUGAUCCAGCCAUACCGCGUGGGUGAAGAAGGCCUUCGGGUUGUAAAGCCCUUUUGUUGGGAAAGAAAUCCAGCUGGCUAAUACCCGGUUGGGAUGACGGUACCCAAAGAAUAAGCACCGGCUAACUUCGUGCCAGCCGCCGCAGUAA